AACUGUUCACUCUCUUCUUCACUGCAAAGCUGCGUCCAAACUCGCGAAAUUUUGAGCGAGUGAGUGUCAAAUCCCUCCUCAGGCGUCCCUCCUUCUCUCCUCGUCACCAUCUCUAACCCUUUCUGGCGCAAAUAUUCUCAUUACCUUCACUCGCUCGAUUUGGAGAUAAGGCAGGCUGGAAGCUUUUGGGGAAGAUUUGCUGGAUGAGUGUGAGGCAUUGGAUUGAUUUCACUCAAUCCAAGGCCCACAUUUAUCAGGAAUUCGUUCUCAAAAGGGAAUUUUGGAUGGAUUUAGAAAAGGGAUUUUUAGAGUGAAUUUUGCAGAGAGGAUUUUUCAGAGAGGUUUUUUUUUUUUUUUCGAAAAUCUGGGUUCGAGAUAAUAGCCUUCUUCUUCUUUAUCAUUUGCCUUCAAUCUUAGUUGAACUUUAGAAAAAAGAAAAAUACAGAAAAGAUGUUCAAUAUUCGGUGACUUUAUGGUUGUUUGGUUUAUUGUUUACAAGCUUCAAAACAUAUAGAUUCCGUCUCUUCUUUCAAUGUGGAUUUAGUAAAAAAUGGAAUUCGGUUGAGAGAUACUCGAACUCGUUAUUGCUCCAGGCGUCAAUUUGUGGCUGUUGCUGUUCUGUGUUGAUUUCAGUAUUGAGGCUAGUUUGAUUUUCACCCCAGGUUCACUUCUGCUCUUCCUCUUAUUUCUGUUGUGAAGUGAGCCAUGGACGGACUGUAAAACGAUUUAAGUUAAAAUAGUAUAUGAGGCUUGUGUGGUUAUCUGCCAUUUUAUUUACUACUCUGCUCUGCCUUAUGAUUGUCAAAUGAAUCUGAAUCAGUAAUGUAUAUCCUCAUGGUUUUUCACUUGGUUAUCAGAUUCUUUAGUACGAAUGAUUUCUAGUAAUCGUUCUGUUCUUUUAUUUUGAACGAGCAUAGCAGCUUGUGCUUGGAUUUUGCUGUUACCAAAGUUUUAACAAAUGACCCUAGGAAGGUUGGAAUGGCUGCUAUAUUGAUAUCGCGCUUAGUGUUUCACCUCUAUUCCGAUAUGUUUGUUGCGAGUUGAAUUAGUGUCUUUAUUUAGGGGAUUUGAGACCAUUCGUUUGUCUAUUUAUUUUUUAACCAAAUAUGUUUUGAAAGUAAGACAUGUGUAGUUUUUUUGAUAAUUCACGGCUGGAAUUAAAGUGUCGCAUGGUUGCUAAAUGAAUGGCGAGUCGAUAAUCUGCUCAUUUAUGCUUCCCAUGACUAUGCUCAUUUGUGCUUCUUAUGACUAUGCUAUUUGGUUCCGUCAUGUUCGAGUUUGUCAUUGUUCUAUUGUUAUUCUUCCCCCUGCUCGAUGAGCCUGUUUCUGGACAGAAUCGACAUCUUCUUUAGCUCAUUAUAAGAUCUUAUCAAGCAACCCCUUAUCCGUCUACUUGUUAACAUGCAAAGAAUUUGUUUGGAAAUACUAAAGCUAGCAAUGAGAACCUCCCGUUUAGUCCAAUCCAAAGAAGGAAAUUGUCUAGAUGACAUUUCUAAAUUCUAAGUUUCUGCUCUCGCUCUUUAAAUGCAAAAGGUUUUCUGUAAGUUGAUCAAACUAAGUGUAUAAAAGGUCUUCUACUUCUAGCACUAUACUAUGGAGCUUCUUGUUCUAGUUACUCUUUGGUUGUUAUGAGCAGAAUUGUCAAACGCUCUUGGAGAGAGCUAACUUUCUUAGAGAGUAGCUUUAGAUGUUCUUUGUGGCACUCCCGAGGCUCUAAGUUGGAUUGUAAAAUAAGGUGUAUUAUGCUUUAGCUACUGAUUGCUCGAUUAACAGUUAUUCUGCUUCAUUCUUAGAAUGAAAAUGUAGUCCUUUUAGCUGCCCGGUAGGUGGAAGCUGAUGCUGUUUUCAAACGAGAGGUCUGUAUGAAGUGUUAGGAUCAUUUUGACUAUAUCCGCUCCAAGGCAGAUUUUGUGCGCGCUAAUUUGAAAUCGACGAGUCAAGCUUCUAAUUAACCUUAACUGUUUUUUGUUGUGAUUAUCAAAUUCCUGCUAGGCAUAUUUAUCUAUGCAAUGGUUCGUGUGCAUUAGUUUUUGUGAAAUCUCCCCUGUUUUGUGUGUUAUCAAAUUUAUAAGAGUUCCAUUUACUUGGAUGAUUUCCACAGUAGUCAGAUUCGUUAAUUAGUGAAGAGGGUAUGAUUUGUUCUUAAAUUUUGAAUAUAAUUAACAACAAUGUAUGAGAAAUAACCAAAGGGAAUUAGUUUGUUUGAUGAGUCUUAAAACAGGAUCAUCCUUCUAAUGGAUUUCAUGAACCUUUGGACCUUAUAGAUCACUCCAGUUGAUGCGAAAUAAACAAUUCAUAAACUUUGUAGAAAUGUUUUUAGGCAUGGCCUUAAUGUACCUAUUGUGGUUGCGAUUGCGUAUACGUCCGCAUAACAUGACCAUAAUUUUAAAUUAAUUUGGAGUAUGCGUUUCCGCAACUUUGGUAAAAUCUUUUCUUAACAAUAAAAUAGGUUACCAAUUUUAAUUAUUUUUAGUUUACGUAAGUUCAUUAAAAUCACAUCUUGCCUUCUUAGUAAUUUCCUAGGUUAGGUAAAAUAUAAUAUUUCGAAUAAUAUCCUUUAGGGCUGUUUAAAAAACUAGUGCGAUUGCGUAUACGUCCGCGUAACACAAUUACACUUAUAAAACUAAACUGGAGUAUGCGUUCCCGCAACUUCGGCCUAAACAUUUCUUAAAAAUAAUUAAGUGUUAUUAAUUGUGGACACGUUCGCGUGACAUGAUUUUUGACGCACUAAACAAGUGAGUAUAUAUACGUGUAACCCGUUUCAACAUAAUUGUUCUAAUUAAAAGCGGUAAAAGAAGAAAAAGCAUAUAAGUUAAAAAUCAGUAAUUAAAUAAUAUAACAAGCCAAGUAGGAUAAAAGCGACUAUGCUAGAACUACGGAAUUCGGGAGUGUCUAACACCUUCUCCCGGGUUAACAGAAUUCCUUAACAGGAUUUCUAAUUCGCAGACUAUAAUAACCGAGUCAUUCUUUCCUCGAUUCGGGAUCUUAAAUUAGUGACUUGGGACACCAUAAAUUUCCUAAGUGGCGACUUUGACUUUUAAUAAUUAAUCCCGUUUCGAUUGUCACUUAAAUUUGAAAAAACUUCCUUUACUACAUCCCUUCCGGGUGUAGUAAUGAAAAAAGGAGGUGUGGCAGUUGCCCCUAUUGUUACUUUAGUAGGUGAUGAAAAUGUUCCCUUCCUAGAGAAGUAGAAUUUUGCAUGUGAAUUUUCUUUUUAGUAACUUUCUCAUACCUUUUUUCCUUAAUUUUGAUGAUCAUUAUUAUAAUUUUCCUUUUCUUUUCCAUCAACCAUGGGAAUUGUUGAUGAAAUUUUUAAUUUUCGUGGUUGGGUAGGAAAAUUGUUGAAUACAGCCCCAAUGGAGGGUAGAUCUUGGAAAGCUCUCUCCCAAUGUUUAGUUGGAAAGUAAAAACUCAUGAUAAAUUUUUUGUAUAACUCCUCUUUUUAAUUGCUUUUUCCAGGACUUACUUUAAUCCUCAGUUUUAUCA
rnacentral:lncRNA from 1 species